ensembl:lncRNA
CUGAGGACCAAGCUGAAGGACCAGACUGGACACCGUCCUCCUGUCAUGGGUAUUGCUAUGAAAGGCCUUUAGUGUUGACCCAAAACACCUCCAGGCUGUGUAAGGUCUAUUUGACCAAGAUGGGGAGUGACGGUGCAGCGUCAGAUGACCUGGCCUCCACAAUCACCCCCCGACCUCAACCCAACUGAGAUGGUUUGGAGGGUUAUGUAUUGUUCUGGGAAGACUUCUCUCUAGCCCAAACCCAGGGGAGGACGCCUCCUGGCAAUUACACCUCCCUCAGGAUGGGGCCACAUUGUCUUCUGACCACCACCCCCCAUGGCUUAAUUCCUAGUUCUUACGCUGCUACAGUUUAUGUACCGGAGGAGUAGCUGUCAGGCAACAUGGACCAUGCCUUGGGACUGCCUGGCCUGACAACUCCUAGAUGACCCUGCCCCUAGUCGCCAUCU